rnacentral:rRNA from 1 species
UCAGGAUGAACGCUAGCGACAGGCCUAACACAUGCAAGUCGAGGGGUAACAGGGAGCUUGCUCCGCUGACGACCGGCGCACGGGUGAGUAACGCGUAUGCAACCUUCCCACAGGAUCGGGAUAGCCCUCCGAAAGGAGGAUUAACACCGGAUGUGGUAAUUAAGAGGCAUCUUUUAAUUACUAAAUGCGAAGCAUGUGGAUGGGCAUGCGUGACAUUAGCUAGUUGGCGGGGUAACGGCCCACCAAGGCGACGAUGUCUAGGGGUUCUGAGAGGAAGGUCCCCCACACUGGUACUGAGACACGGACCAGACUCCUACGGGAGGCAGCAGUGAGGAAUAUUGGUCAAUGGGCGGAAGCCUGAACCAGCCAAGUAGCGUGAAGGAUUACUGCCCUACGGGUUUUAAACUUCUUUUAUGCGAGAGUAAUGUGCGCCACGUGUGGCGUAUUGCAAGUAUCGCAUGAAUAAGCAUCGGCUAACUCCGUGCCAGCAGCCGCGGUAAUACGGAGGAUGCGAGUGUUAUCCGGAUUUAUUGGGUUUAAAGGGAGCGUAGGCGGGUCAUUAAGUCAGUCGUCAAAGCCUGUGGCUCAACCACAGCCCGCGAUUGAUACUGGUGACCUUGAGUGCGGAUGAGGUGGAUGGAAUUCGUGGUGUAGCGGUGAAAUGCUUAGAUAUCACGAAGAACUCCGAUUGCGAAGGCAGUCCACUGGGCCGCAACUGACGCUGAAGCUCGAAAGUGCGGGUAUCAAACAGGAUUAGAUACCCUGGUAGUCCGCACCGUAAACGAUGGAUACUCGCUGUCGGCGAUACACAGUCGGCGGCCAAGCGAAAGCAUUAAGUAUCCCACCUGGGGAGUACGCCGGCAACGGUGAAACUCAAAGGAAUUGACGGGGGCCCGCACAAGCGGAGGAACAUGUGGUUUAAUUCGAUGAUACGCGAGGAACCUUACCCGGGCUUGAACUGCGGUGGACCGGUCCAGAGAUGGAUUUUCCCUUCGGGGCCGCCGUGGAGGUGCUGCAUGGUUGUCGUCAGCUCGUGCCGUGAGGUGUCGGCUUAAGUGCCAUAACGAGCGCAACCCUUUCCGUCAGUUGCCAUCAGGUAAUGCUGGGGACUCUGUCGGUACUGCCAUCGUAAGAUGUGAGGAAGGUGGGGAUGACGUCAAAUCAGCACGGCCCUUACGUCCGGGGCUACACACGUGUUACAAUGGGGGGUACAGAAGGCCGCUACCCGGCGACGGGGCGCCAAUCCCGAAAACCCCUCUCAGUUCGGACUGGAGUCUGCAACCCGACUCCACGAAGCUGGAUUCGCUAGUAAUCGCGCAUCAGCCAUGGCGCGGUGAAUA